AGUGUUUAUCCAACAUGUUAUCUACCAACACAGGUUAAUGUCUAAACUUUCUGAGUGUUUAUCCAACAUGUUAUCUACCAACACAGGUUAAUGUCUAAACUUUCUGAGUGUUUAUACAACAUGUUAUCUACCAACACAGGUUAAUGUCUAAACUUUCUGAGAGUGUUUAGCCAGCAUGUUAUCUACCAACACAGGUUAAUGUCUAAACUAUCUGAGAGUGUUUAGCCAACAUGUUAUCUACCAACACAGGUUAAUGUCUAAACUUUCUGAGUGUUUAUCCAACACGUUAUCUACCAACACAGGUAAAUGUCUAAACUUUCUGAGUGUUUAUCCAACAUGUUAUCUACCAACACAGGUUAAUGUCUAAACUUUCUGAGAGUGUUUAUCCAACAUGUUAUCUACCAACACAGGUUAAUGUCUAAACUUUCUGAGAGUGUUUAGCCAGCAUGUUAUCUACCAACACAGGUUAAUGUCUAAACUUUCUGAGAGUGUUUAUUCAACAUGUUAUCUACCAACACAGGUAAAUGUCUAAACUUUCUGAG
rnacentral:lncRNA from 1 species